UUCCUUUGAAGUUGGAGGAAUAAUGUGAUAAAAAUACAAGUGGCGUUCUCUUUAACUGGAAGUUCGUACAAGCUGGAUUUGAAGAGGAAGGAAGUGAAGGGAGAAUUGCCAGAUGAGAACGUGUGGCUACAAUCGGGACGCAAGAAUGUCAGAAAUGACCCCAAUUUCUUUGAUCUGACAAGACUGCAUGCUCGCUCGCUGAAGAUUCUCGGUGAACUGUGAGGGUUCUUGCCGUCAGAAUCUUAGUCCCAUGAGGUGGACGUCACCCAGAACACACAGGUCCAGACUGAGCCAGUGGGUGACGAUUGUGUGGACACCAUCAUCACUCAGCAGAAGGGAGCAAAUCCUAUUGACUCUACUUGUACCUGCGUCCUGAUCUUUCCACUCCAUUACCCCAUCCAGGACGCCAUCAUCCUCAUGCCAACUGUGUCAAUGACCUUUCAUCUGGUCUCUCUGCUUCCACUCUUUUUGCCUCUCGAAUCCAUCCUCUAACAAGCAGCCGGAGAGAGAUUUUAAACCCUAAAUCAGUUGUGUGUUCCCUGCCUAAACCCAUUCCAGUGUCCUCUCACCUAAUAUAAGAGUCUAAAAC
rnacentral:lncRNA from 1 species